rnacentral:rRNA from 1 species
UACGGGGGGAGCAAGCGUUGUUCGGAAUUACUGGGCGUAAAGGGCGCGUAGGCGGCCAACUAAGUCGGACGUGAAAUCCCUCAGCUUAACUGGGGAACUGCGUCCGAUACUGGAUGGCUUGGAUUUGGGAGAGGGAUGCGGAAUUCCAGGUGUAGCGGUGAAAUGCGUAGAUAUCAGGAGGAACACCGGUGGCGAAGGCGGGUCUCUGGGCAACAACUGACGCUGGAGGAGCGAAAGCGUGGGGGAGC